GGAGGAGUCGGAUAAUGGUAUUCCACCGGUCUUGAAAACCGGCGCCCGAGAGGGCUUGCGGGUUCGAGUCCCGCCUCCUCCG
rnacentral:tRNA from 1 species